GCCAGCAUAGUGUAGUGGUUUGAGCAUAAGACUAGGACUCUGAUUGUCAGGGUUUGAUUCCCUGAUCAGCCC